rnacentral:rRNA from 1 species
UUUGAUUCUUCGGAUGAAGAUCUUGGUGACUGAGUGGCAGACGGGUGAGUAACGCGUGGGUAACCUGCCUCAUACAGGGGGAUAACAGUUAGAAAUGACUGCUAAUACCGCAUAAGACCACAGCACCGCAUGGUGCAGGGGUAAAAACUCCGGUGGUAUGAGAUGGACCCGCGUCUGAUUAGGUAGUUGGUGGGGUAACGGCCUACCAAGCCGACGAUCAGUAGCCGACCUGAGAGGGUGACCGGCCACAUUGGGACUGAGACACGGCCCAAACUCCUACGGGAGGCAGCAGUGGGGAAUAUUGCACAAUGGGGGAAACCCUGAUGCAGCGACGCCGCGUGAGCGAUGAAGUAUUUCGGUAUGUAAAGCUCUAUCAGCAGGGAAGAAAAUGACGGUACCUGACUAAGAAGCACCGGCUAAAUACGUGCCAGCAGCCGCGGUAAUACGUAUGGUGCAAGCGUUAUCCGGAUUUACUGGGUGUAAAGGGAGCGUAGACGGAGUGGCAAGUCUGAUGUGAAAACCCGGGGCUCAACCCCGGGACUGCAUUGGAAACUGUCAAUCUAGAGUACCGGAGAGGUAAGCGGAAUUCCUAGUGUAGCGGUGAAAUGCGUAGAUAUUAGGAGGAACACCAGUGGCGAAGGCGGCUUACUGGACGGUAACUGACGUUGAGGCUCGAA